rnacentral:rRNA from 1 species
GACGAACGCUGGCGGCGUGCUUUACACAUGCAAGUCGAACGGAAAGGCCCUGCUUUUGUGGGGUGCUCGAGUGGCGAACGGGUGAGUAACACGUGAGUAACCUGCCCUUGACUUUGGGAUAACUUCAGGAAACUGGGGCUAAUACCGGAUAGGAGCUCCUGCUGCAUGGUGGGGGUUGGAAAGUUUCGGCGGUUGGGGAUGGACUCGCGGCUUAUCAGCUUGUUGGUGGGGUAGUGGCUUACCAAGGCUUUGAUGGGUAGCCGGCCUGAGAGGGUGACCGGCCACAUUGGGACUGAGAUACGGCCCAGACUCCUACGGGAGGCAGCAGUGGGGAAUAUUGCACAAUGGGCGGAAGCCUGAUGCAGCAACGCCGCGUGCGGGAUGACGGCCUUCGGGUUGUAAACCGCUUUCGCCUGUGACGAAGCGUGAGUGACGGUAAUGGGUAAAGAAGCACCGGCUAACUACGUG